rnacentral:tRNA from 1 species
GGCCCCAUGGUCAAUCGGUUAAGACGGAACCCUCUCAAGGUUCAAUGACUGGUUCGACUCCAGUUGGGGUCACCA